AGAGCCAUUCAAAAGAACAGAAAUUAAUAGAAAUCAGAGUUCUGCCCUGGCUAAGCGAGUGCGCAAUGCGGGGGGGGGGGGGCUGAGCUGGGGGACUCGGCAUUGCAAGGGUUAAAGGGAACCGAGCUGCCUUCCUAGAGAGGACAGGAAGUGGGGGGGCAGGUCCUCCAGAGCCAAGGCCCCUCCCUCCCCAGUCCUUUCCUGCCUGGCUGUCCCUCCUGGGAUCUGGUGAGUCUCCUCUCUCUCUGGGAUCUGGUGAGUCUCCUCUCUCUCUGGGAUCUGGUGAGUCUCCUCUCUCUCUGGGAUCUGGUGAGUCUCCUCUCUGGGAUCUGGUGGGGGUCCCAGGGCUGCAGCAGGGGAGGGGGCUGGGGGGACCCCAAGUCAGGGAGGAGAGGGUCCUGCCAGGGAGGGGCCAGGUCUGCCACGCUCUCCUUCCUGCAGAGCAGAGGAUCCCAAACUCAUUUGGCCCUUCGCCCCCCCUCCAGAAAAAAAUGUCUCCCAGGAAAUCUCCCUUCUUUAAACAAAGGAGUCCCUGGGACUGUGUGACGUCGCUCAGCGUCAUUGCAGAACAGAGGAAACAUCUGCAAAUGGUUUUCGAAAGCUGGACAAGGAGGUGGAGGAAGGAAGAAAAGUUGGGAAGGAGAGGCCAGGAAUAAGGAGAGGGAUCCCAGCCCAGAGUCUGGCUGCUGCAUUGGGGACCAGUUUCCCAGUGUCUCCCAGGGCAGCUCCCCACGGAGGCCACUGCAGCAAUCCCUCGCACCCAGAGCAGGGCAUCCCAGGACCACAUCCUCUCUCUCCCAAAGGGAUUGUUGCUGGCAAAGCAGCCGGAAAUGGGCGCUGCUACUCCCUGAGCCUCCAGGGACCUGGGCAUCAAUGGCUGUGCGUGUGUUAAGCCAUCUAAGAGAAUAAUAAUAAUAAAUUAGCUGCCUAAAUUCCAAAGGAGAUGUAUUUGGCCCCACCCACUUGGCCCUCAGGGGGUUGUCCAGAUACAUUCCUGGCCCUCAGAGCAAAAGAAAAGGGACCCCACCCCAGGAGUCUGUCUCGAGAGCGGCAGAGAGUCCAAGUGCAAGAAAAGGAGACAGAAGUAGGGGGGAAAUGUGCCCUGAAGUGGGGGUGGGGGGAGAACAACUCCUGAGGACCCCCAGAUGAGGACCCCCCACUAGAGCCAAGCAUCCAUUUUUCAAAUGAUUGCCUUGUCAGUCAGUUCUGACUUCAUGCAUUGACUGGAAGGCAGGAGCAACCAGGCUGACUCAUCUCCCAGAAAUCCCUUCAUUUCCUCCACAUUUUGCAUUGCAAUCUUCCUUCUAGGAGAGCUAGAGGAGUCUUCUUCUGCUUCUGCUUCUGCUUCUCCUCCUCCUCACCCUCCUCCUCCUCCUCUGUCUUUUCAAAAAGGGUUGCGGUCCAGUCUAGCCCUGGUUCCUAGCAAGACUCAUCCAUGCUCUUUUAGAGAAGCAUUUUCUUCUCCUGACCUACAAAUUCUGUAACAGAACAAUGUAUUUGCUUUGUAGGAUUUCCAGGACUUCUCAUUAAGACGAAGAUCAAAGGGUUCCUUCUGAUCUCUUAGAAGUUUCCUGAGACCACAGAUGGAUGAUCGAGAUUCAGCUGGCCCCGAAGCAGGAAGAGGCCAUGCCAACCAAACUGGGAGCAGUGGGGGAUUCUGGGAAAACGCUGUGCUGAAGAUCCUGGGUGAGGAGGACACCCUCUGCUCAGAGGUGCAGAUCCGGCAGUUCAGUUGGUUCUGCUACCUGCAAGCCAAAGGACCCCGAGAGGUUUGCAGCCAACUCCACCACUUUUGCCACCAGUGGCUGAAGCCAGAAAGGCACACGAAAGCUGAGAUGCUGGACCUGGUGAUCUUGGAGCAGUUCCUGGCUGUCCUUCCUCCGGAGAUGGAGAGCUGGGUGAGGGACUGUGGAGCAGAGACCAGUUCCCAGGCGGUGGCCCUGGCCGAAGGUUUCCUCCUGAGUCAGGCAGAGGAGAGGAAGCAGGCAGAGAGAAAGCAGGUGAGGGAGACUUUCCUCUGGAUACUACCUUGACCAGAGCCAGGGCCUUUUCGGAUGUGGCUCCGUCCUGGUGGAACGCUCUCUCACAAGAGACCAGGGCACUGUGGGAUUUGACAUCUUUCCUCAGAGCAUGCAAGACAGAGCUGUUCCGCCAGGCCUUUCUUCAGGGUUCAGUCUGAUUCUUUUCUUUCAGUACAAGAAUAAGCACUAAAGAGGCUUCCUAGCCCGCUCACACCUACUUUAUAAGACCAGUGGUAACAGUAGUUGGCCCUAGCGAAUACUAACCACUCUCAAUUUUACCAGUGGUCUGUCCAGAUUUUAAUUUGUUUUGAACUAAUUUUAAGAAUUAUUUUAAUUAAUCAAUUGCCUGUCCUUAUGGUCUUUGUGUACUGUGUUAGAUUUACGAUGUUAGCCGCCAAAAGAUCGGCUCCGGCCAGGGAGGGUGGGGUACAAAUAAAAAAUUAUUAUUAUUAUUAUUAGGGGCUCCAAAGAGGAUGGAGAACAUCCCAUAAUGCUCUGCUGAUGGCCCAUCCUUUUUCUGGGAAGGCAUCCAUGGAAUGAGAUCUCACACCCUUAAAGAUUUUUACUUUUCCAUUUUCUUUCUGCUAUUUCUUGUCCUUCAUUUUCUGUUUUGAAUCCUUGUUGCUCUUUCAGGAAAAGGAUCGUUUUGAGGAAAUGGACAUGGAUUCCUGUGAGGCAGAGAGGCCUCCGUUGGACACCAGAGAGAGGCCACUGGGUAAGGAGGAAGGUGGUUUUUCUCUGUUUGGAGGCAUUCGGAACCAAGGGUCCAGAGGAGGGGAGAUAUAUUUUUGCAUAACUAACAUAUGAAAUGGGCACAAAUGUCCAAAUGCACUCAGCAGGUAAGGCUUUCUGAAAGGCCCAUCUGUAGUUAGAGAUGCCCUGUUUCACCUGUGAGAGACAUGGGCACGCCUGGCAUCCUGCUUACCUGUUUUCUCUUUCAGGAGACAGAAUGAUGCCGGCAAGACCACCUGAUCCAUCUUUUCAUGGGGGCAGAAGGGAAGCAGCGGCUGUGGAACCAGAUCAGGUCAGGGGAAGCUGCCUUGUGGGGACAGAGGCCGAGGGAUGGAGCAAUGUCAUGGACUGGUUGGGCACAGAGGAAUGGUGGGAGGAAGCAGCUGGGGAACCAGGAAGGGGAAAUGUCUCAGCCCAAGGAGUGGAGGUGGAGGAAGGAUGAGCAGUGAAAGGGAGAAGAGGGAGAAGUCUGGGAAGAGGAGGUGUCAGAAGCUGAAGGGAUAACAGGGCUUAGGGAUAACAGGGCUUAGAGAGGAGGGGACUUGGAAAGCUGUGGGGAGCUAGGGGCCUUCUCUUUUGGCAGCUGAUUUCAUGGAGGAAGACCCUGUCAUGGAAUUCUACUCAGUAUUGAUCCAGGCAGAACUCCAAUGUAUAGUUACCAGAGUGAAAAUGUAAAGACGUUGCAGGAUUCCCCAAAAUAUUUUUUUUUUAAUUAAUAUUUAUUAAGUUUUCAAAGAAUAACAACAAAAAUUUCC
rnacentral:lncRNA from 1 species